rnacentral:rRNA from 1 species
ACGUAGGAGGCGAACGUUAUCCGGAUUUACUGGGCGUAAAGCGCGUGUAGGUGGUUCUGUAAGUAGGGCGUGAAAGCUCCUGGCUCAACUGGGAGAGGCCGUUCUAAACUACAGAACUAGAGGAUGGUAGAGGGAGGUGGAAUUCCAGGUGUAGCGGUGGAAUGCGCAGAUAUCUGGAGGAACACCAGUGGCUAAGGCGGCCUCCUGGACCAUUCCUGACACUCAUACGCUAAAGCUAGUGUAGCAAACUG